rnacentral:rRNA from 1 species
CCUACGGGUGGCUGCAGUGAGGAAUAUUGGUCAAUGGGCGAGAGCCUGAACCAGCCACGUAGCGUGAAGGAUGACUGCCCUACGGGUUGUAAACUUCUUUUAUAAAGGAAUAAAGUGAGGCACGUGUGCCUUUUUGUAUGUACUUUAUGAAUAAGGGUCGGAUAACUCCGUGCCAGCAGACGCGGUAAUACGGAGGAUCCGAGCGUUAUCCGGAUUUAUUGGGUUUAAAGGGAGCGUAGAUGGGUUGUUACGUCAGUGGUGAAAGUUUGCGGCUCAACCGUAAAAUUGCAAUUGAUACUGGCAGUCGUGAGUACAGUUGAGGUAGGCGGAAUUCGUGGUGUAGCGGUGAAAUGCUUAGAUAUCACGAAGAACUCCGAUUGCGAAGGCAGCUGACUAAACUGCCACUGACAUUGAUGCUCGAAAGUGUGGGUAGCAAACAGGAUUAGAUACCCCAGUAGUC